rnacentral:rRNA from 1 species
GGGUUGUAGGACUGCAAUGUGGACUCAAAGAUUAUAGAAGAAUGAUUUGGGAAGAUCAGCCAAAGAGAGUAAUAGCCUCGUAUUUAAAAUAGUCUUUGUACUUAGCAGUAUCCUGAGUACGGCGGGACACGUGAAAUCCCGUCGGAAUCCGGGAGGACCAUCUCCCAACCCUAAAUACUCCCUAGUGACCGAUAGUGAACCAGUACCGUGAGGGAAAGGUGAAAAGCACCCCGGGAGGGGAGUGAAAUAGAACCUGAAACCGUGUGCCUACAACAAGUUCGAGCCCGUUAAUGGGUGAGAGCGUGCCUUUUGUAGAAUGAACCGGCGAGUUACGUUAUGAUGCGAGGUUAAGUUGAAGAGACGGAGCCGUAGGGAAACCGAGUCUGAAUAGGGCGCCUUAGUAUCAUGACGUAGACCCGAAACCAUGUGACCUACCCAUGAGCAGGUUGAAGGUGCGGUAAGACGCACUGGAGGACCGAACCAGGGCACGUUGAAAAGUGCUUGGAUGACUUGUGGGUAGCGGAGAAAUUCCAAACGAACUUGGAGAUAGCUGGUUCUCUCCGAAAUAGCUUUAGGGCUAGCGUCGACAUUAGAGAUUCUUGGAGGUAGAGCACUGUUUGGGUGAGGGGUCCAUCCCGGAUUACCAAUCUCAGAUAAACUCCGAAUGCCAAUGAAUUAUGGUCGGCAGUCAGACUGCGAGUGCUAAGAUCCGUAGUCGAAAGGGAAACAGCCCAGACCACCAGCUAAGGUCCCAAAAUAAUUGUUAAGUGGAAAAGGAUGUGGGGUUGCACAGACAACUAGGAUGUUAGCUUAGAAGCAGCUAUUCAUUCAAAGAGUGCGUAAUAGCUCACUAGUCGAGUGACCCUGCGCCGAAAAUGUACCGGGGCUAAAACAAUUUACCGAAGCUGUGGAUACCUUUAUAGGUAUGGUAGGAGAGCGUUCUAUGUGUGAUGAAGGUGUACCGUGAGGAGUGCUGGAACGCAUAGAAGUGAGAAUGCCGGUAUGAGUAGCGAAAGACAGGUGAGAAUCCUGUCCACCGUAAGACUAAGGUUUCCAGGGGAAGGCUCGUCCGCCCUGGGUUAGUCGGGACCUAAGGAGAGACCGAAAGGUGUAUCCGAUGGACAACAGGUUGAUAUUCCUGUACUAGAGUAUGUAGUGAUGGAGGGACGCAGUAGGCUAACUAAAGCAGACGAUUGGAAGAGUCUGUCUAAGCAGUGAGGUGUGAAUUGAGUCAAAUGCUUAAUUCUAUAACAUUGAGCUGUGAUGGGGAGCGAAGUUUAGUAGCGAAGUUAGUGACGUCACACUGCCAAGAAAAGCUUCUAGCGUUUAAACAUACUCUACCCGUACCGCAAACCGACACAGGUAGUCGAGGCGAGUAGCCUCAGGUGAGCGAGAGAACUCUCGUUAAGGAACUCGGCAAAAUGACCCCGUAACUUCGGGAGAAGGGGUGCUGACUUUAAGUCAGCCGCAGUGAAUAGGCCCAAGCAACUGUUUAUCAAAAACACAGCUCUCUGCUAAAUCGUAAGAUGAUGUAUAGGGGGUGACGCCUGCCCGGUGCUGGAAGGUUAAGAGGAGUGCUUAGCGUAAGCGAAGGUAUGAAUUGAAGCCCCAGUAAACGGCGGCCGUAACUAUAACGGUCCUAAGGUAGCGAAAUUCCUUGUCGGGUAAGUUCCGACCCGCACGAAAGGCGUAAUGAUUUGGGCACUGUCUCAACGAGAGACUCGGUGAAAUUUUAGUACCUGUGAAGAUGCAGGUUACCCGCGACAGGACGGAAAGACCCCAUGGAGCUUUACUGCAGUUUGAUAUUGAGUGUCUGUACCACAUGUACAGGAUAGGUAGGAGUCUAAGAGAUCGGGACACCAGUUUCGAAGGAGACGCUGUUGGGAUACUACCCUUGUGUUAUGGCCACUCUAACCCAGAUAGGUGAUCCCUAUCGGAGACAGUGUCUGACGGGCAGUUUGACUGGGGCGGUCGCCUCCUAAAAGGUAACGGAGGCGCCCAAAGGUUCCCUCAGAAUGGUUGGAAAUCAUUCGCAGAGUGUAAAGGUAUAAGGGAGCUUGACUGCGAGAGCUACAACUCGAGCAGGGACGAAAGUCGGGCUUAGUGAUCCGGUGGUUCCGUAUGGAAGGGCCAUCGCUCAACGGAUAAAAGCUACCCUGGGGAUAACAGGCUUAUCUCCCCCAAGAGUUCACAUCGACGGGGAGGUUUGGCACCUCGAUGUCGGCUCGUCGCAUCCUGGGGCUGUAGUCGGUCCCAAGGGUUGGGCUGUUCGCCCAUUAAAGCGGCACGCGAGCUGGGUUCAGAACGUCGUGAGACAGUUCGGUCCCUAUCCGUCGCGGGCGUAGGAAAUUUGAGAGGAUCUGCUCCUAGUACGAGAGGACCAGAGUGGACUUACCGCUGGUGUACCAGUUGUCUUGCCAAAGGCAUCGCUGGGUAGCUAUGUAGGGAAGGGAUAAACGCUGAAAGCAUCUAAGUGUGAAACCCACCUCAAGAUGAGAUUUCCCAUGAUUAU